GCGAGGAUUGGCAGCAUCAGCAGGAACUGGCAACUGAUUAUUUCAUUGGAAAAAAAUAAUAAAUAAAUAAACCCCUACAAAAAGAUCCCCUGCAUUUGAAAAAGAGAGGGGGGAAACAAGCUGAACUCUCAUCAUUCUUUCUCCAGCAGCCAAUCUGCUUUGCAUUGAAACAACAACAGCGCUUUUUGGUUACAGAUGCAGGAGAAAUUCAAUUCACUUCACGUUUAAAGGAGCACCUCCACGUUACGUUUACUUGCAUGAAAACACCAGUGUUACACUGUUACAUGUGGCUAUUACAAAGAGGCGUACAGUGAUGUUCAUUCAUCUUGGCUGGGCCAGAGAUCCCAGGCAAGAAUCUGUGUGCUCUACCUGUACAUUCAGAGAUGUGCAUGCACUCCUGUGUUAUGUCCAGGGGUGUGGUGGUCUGGAUUUUUGGGGUGUGUAUCAUGGGUGUAGCCAGGAUUUAUAUUAGGUGAGCAGGACCAAUGGGGGGGGGGGAGUCAGAACUGAGUUGUCUGUGACAUGAUUGGUCAGUUAGUUAAGUAUUUUAUUUACUUGACUGGAGGAAGCUGUCCCCCGCCCCCCAUUGGCUACACCCAUGGGUGAGUGUGCGAAAGAUCUACCAUUUCUGCCCCAGGGUCCCUGUCUCCAGCGUCCUAGAACCACCCAAUCAGGAUGAAAGGGGAGCCUUUAAGACACUGAGAAGUAUUAUCACCCUUUGUGCUGGUUGGAGUCAGCAAUGGAGAACCAGCUCCUCAAGUCACUCUGGAGACGGCGCAUGUAAAGAACACCAAGGAGUUGUUCUGUACACUCCAAAGCUAAGAUUUAGGAACACUGGGAAAACCAGGUGCUUCACUUUCAAGACAAUCCGUUUGUUGAACGCUCUCCUCAGGGAGGUUGUCCAGCAUCUUUAGGAUGUAUCUUUCGGAUGUAUAAUAAAACGUUCGUUUUCAACUCA